UCUUAUCCAGAGAGGUGGAGGGAUCGGCCCUGUGAAACCUCGGCAACAGACUCAUCUUUUUGAGAACUGUGCCAAUUCCCACAAGCUACGGCUUGGAAGAUAAGA
rnacentral:ncRNA from 1 species